AAUCAACGCUGGCGGCGUGCCUAACACAUGCAAGUCGAACGAGUAAGGGGGCUUCGGUCCCUGAGUACAGUGGCGCACGGGUGAGUAACACGUGACUUAUCUACCCUCGAGUGGGGAAUAACUUCGGGAAACCGAGGCUAAUACCGCAUAAUACCCACGGGUCAAAGAAGCAAUUCGCUUGAGGAGGAGGUCGCGGCCGAUUAGUUAGUUGGCGGGGUAAUGGCCCCACCCAAGACGGUGAUCGGUAUCCGGCCUGAGAGGGCGCACGGACACACUGGAACUGAAACACGGUCCAGACUCCUACGGGAGGCAGCAGUGGGGAAUUUUGCGCAAUGGGGGAAACCCUGACGCAGCAACGCCGCGUGGAGGAUGAAGUCUCUUGGGACGUAAACUCCUUUCGAUCGGGACGAUUAUGACGGUACCGGAAGAAGAAGCCCCGGCUAACUUCGUG
rnacentral:rRNA from 1 species